rnacentral:rRNA from 1 species
UAUAGAGGUCUCAAGCGUUGUUCGGAUUCAUUGGGCGUAAAGGGUGCGUAGGCGGCGCGGUAAGUCGGAUGUGAAAUCUCGGGGCUUAACUCCGAAACUGCAUUCGAUACUACCGUGCUUGAGGACUGGAGAGGAGACUGGAAUUUACGGUGUAGCGGUGAAAUGCGUAGAUAUCGUAAGGAAGACCAGUGGCGAAGGCGGGUCUCUGGACAGUUCCUGACGCUGAGGCACGAAGGCCAGGGGAGCAAACGGG